CUCUCGGUGGGCGGGGAAAAAGAGAUCGCGCAUGCGUACCACAGCUUGACCGACCGCACCACGGGCGUGCGCACAACGAGGCUGAAGCCUUCUUCAGGACGGAACGGGGAAAUCCCCGGAUGAAACUAAGUAAGGCAAGGAGGAACGAGGCAGAGAAAAGCCGGCGCAUGCGUACAAAGCAGUAUCCAGGAGGGAAGGCGAAAAGGGCUUUCCUCUGCUGCUGCUUCUUGAAUGCGCAGGCGCGGAAAAGGGAAAGAGUGGCGGAAGGGCUUAAAAUCAAGUCGAUCGGCAGCGCCAUGACAGGGGAGGGGCUAAUUGAGGCGAAAUGAGAAAGGGAUAGAGUGUGGCGGAAGUGAAGCCACACUCUUAAGAGUGGCCCGAGGACGCAUGCGCGGUUGAGAAAAGGCGGGAAACCACCUCUUUCUUCAAUAACAAUGGAAGAUGAAAAUGCCACUCUUGGGCUAAACCCGCAAUGAUAUACAUGGAGCACACAUUUGCAGGGAGAGGCCUCUGGAAAUGAACUGCCACGAAAGAGACUGCACAGCGAAAAGGCAAAUGUAUUUAUUGCACUCAUCAACGAGCAAGAAGCACCCGGAAUAUAUUGCAGCAUAGAAAAGGCACCGUAUGGCUUUUAAGGUCCAUUCAAGAGAGCCAAGCCCCCCAAAAGCAGCAGUAAGUGAUACUUAAGGCAGAACAUUGUACUAGAUAUGUGCAAACUUCAGCCCUCCGGGUGUUUUGGACUCCAAUGCCCAACAUUCCUAACACCCUCAGGCCCCUUAAAUUAAAUUGAAAAAAAAAUCCAAAGUAAUUUAUGAAUGUAAUUUAUGAAUGUUUAGUAUCUUUAAACAGUUUGAACAGUUAUAAACUAACAUAAAAAGCCAAGACACUUCAAAAUACAAGUUCACAGGCAAAGACCACCGUAAGCAAUGGUCUUUUCACAGCAACCAAGCUACACAUGCAGGGGUGUAUAUUAGUUCAGAAUGUAUGUACGAUUUGUUAUGUAUUUAAUGAAAACUGAGCUAUAAAGUGGGGUUAAGCUUCCACUAAUUAUUUGGCACACAUGUAAAAUUUUCCUAUAAUUGGCAAAUUAACCCAAUGCAGUAUGGUUUAUUAAAAGUAAUAAACUCUCACACUGAGACUGCCAAUACCAGUUCAGACAUGAUCCUGACAAAUGGGAGAUUUCAAAAGUGUGUUCAAAACAAACAUAACUUAACUCCUGAUAAUAACUUUAGUUAUUAAUACUUUUCUUCAACACUAAAUAUUGGAAUAUGGCUCACUGCAGAAAAAAGGUACAAACAGAUUUUAGAACUAUGCCAGGCACAGAAAUAUCAAAUCAGUCCCAUGGAACUUAUGCCCCACUUUGUUAAAAAUAUCUUAAAUUUUUAAACUAAAAAAAAUCCAAAAGAGUAAUUUAGGAAUGUUUAGUAUCUUUAAACAGUAUGAACAGUUAUAAACUAACUUGCUUAAGCAGCCGAGGGGGAAAAGGAAGGGGCCUGAGGCUGUUAGGAAUGCUGGGAGUUGGAGUCCAAAACACCCGGAGGGCUGAAGUUUGCCCAUGCCUCGCCUACACUGACAAUACAAUGCAGUUCAAGCUUCCACUGCAAGGCACUCUGUGGAAUACAAUACAGAGUGGGAAAAUAAUUCAUGUUCAGAAUCCCAAAAAUAAUAAUAAUAAUAUACAAAAAUAUUUUUAAAAUAGUGUUUCCAAGCUUCCGCGCAUCGGAAAGCCAUAAGAUGUGGUUCUGAAGCUACAGCGAUAGGAGUUGGAACAUGUGGCUCUGGGAUGUAAACAAUGGGAAGGAAGGAAGCGUAGUGGUCAGCUCCCGCAUCCUGUGACCUUCUGGAAUGUUUUGAAGAGAGUGAUGGUCAAGAGGGCUUGAUACACAUCUGGUUCUCAUCCAGGUGUGCGCAGUGCUGGUGUGAACGGAGCAAGGCUGGACACGGCCCGACAGUCCGGCUGAAGUUGGUGAAAGGCAGCACCGUGUCCUUCAGAGCAAUGGUCAACGGCAGCAUCCAAUGGCGAAGUCCCAGGCAAAAGUGCGGCUUCAUGUCCAGACCUCGACGGGGAUCAUGCCCUCCUUGCUCCCGAGGGGUGGCAGGAGGGACUCCUCGGCCAGGAAGUCCAGCGGGAAGCGCACCAGGUGUCCCUUGACCUUCUGCAGCUCGUCCCGAGCGAUGAUGGGACUGGCCGAGGACAGGCUCUCCACGGCCACGUACUCCCGCAGGACACGCUGGGACGGGACCGCAUCCGUGGGCAGGCAGCGGAAGACCUGUUUCGCCACAAGGUAAGAAGGAGGGAUAGGAAGGAAGGAAGGAAGGAAGAAGGAAAGGAGGAUGGAGAGAGGAAAGGAGGAAGGGGAUACAGAGAGGAAAGAAGGAAGGACAGAAGGAGGAUGAAGAGAGGAAAGAAGGAUGGAUGAAAGGGAGGGAGGGGGAAAUGGAGGAAGGAAAGAAUGAAAGUGAUAGAGAAUAGAAGGAAGGAUGGAUGGAUGGAAGGAAGGGAGGGAGGAAGAAGGGGAUGAUGAAAAGAGAAAGGGAGGGAAGGGAUAGAGGAAAGAAGGAA